GGGCCUGUAGCUCAGUUGGUUAGAGCAGCGGACUCAUAAUCCGUUGGUCCCCAGUUCAAGUCUGGGCGGGCCCACCA
rnacentral:tRNA from 27 species